UGUCUCAUAUCGUCUUUGCAGAUGACGUUUUAUUGUUCUAUAAAGCCACUUGCUCAAGUUCAUACCAUCUCCAAUCGAUAUUAUGAAACAUCCUGAUAUAUUUUAUAGAUAUAUAUAGUAACUAAGAAGCAAAACAAUAAAAAAAAAACUAAAAAUAACCUAGCAAAUAUAAACCCACACGGCACCAACCCCACCCAUUACCUUAUUUUGUCAAAUCCAUAUAACUUCUUUCUCUCUCUCUCUCGUGAAUUCCCUUUCUGUGCCUUUCGACUGCAACCUUCAUCCUCUUCUCUAUUUUAUCCUUUUAUUUUUCUACACAGCAAAACCCACACCAAAUCCUAUUACAAAAACCACAUUCUCGUGAAGGAAAAUUGUGAUGUUCAAGUGAAAUGGCUUUUGAGAUAAACAUUGGAACUUAGGGUUUGUGCUAUGAGGAAAGAGAAGAGUACUCACAUCUUCAAGGUUGUUUAUUUGACUUUUGAGUUCAGAUUCGCGGCUAGUGGUUCGUUCGUGAGUCCGGAAGUUGUUGGGAGCAAUCGUGUUGAUUCUUUGUAAUUGUUCUCAUUGGAAGUUAAUGAUGAACCUACACCUGGGUAUGGACAGAUAACAUAGCAUAAGGAGAGAUGGGAAUUGGGAGAAGAAGAAUAAGAAGAAGUGGUUGAUGGGUUUCUUGGUUUUUUUUAUUUUUUAAACUUAAUUGCACUUUUGGUCCCCCACGAAUGAUAAAUGUGCAUUUCUGGUCCUAGUGAGGGGUGAGAAUAGUAAAAUGUGGGUGCAAUAAGUAACUUAUGUUAGAAUUUUAACGGAGGGACCAAAAACGCUAACGGAGACAAACGUGUGGGACUGAUUCUGCUAUUUUCAAAUGUUUAGGACCAAAAAUGCACAUUUGUUAUUCGUGGGGGACCAAAAGUGCAAUUAAGCCUUUAUUGUUUUAUUUUAAGAGUUGACAUUUUACUUGAAAUACUGGUCAUGGAAGAGCUUAUUGACAGAUGUUGUUAUUUUGAAACUAUUGAAAAUACAAAGGAGAUUCUGCUGAAAAUUUUACAAAUUUUGUGUGCAUGAUUAUUUUGAAUAAAUUGUUUGAAAAAUGAUCCUAUAAGGAUGAGGCUUGCUAGGCUAUGGUGGUAGUCUGUGCGCCGGUCACGACUUGGGAUUUUGGGUCGUGACAAAGUUGGUAUCAGAGCUUUGGCUUUAGGUCCUAAUAGCUGCAGACAUGAGGUAGUGAUAGAAUCUUUCUAGUAAAUUGUGAACCGCGGCACAACUUACUUCAAAGAUGCUAUUAACGUCUCAUGAGAGUCUUAAUGUUCUUUCCAAGUGUGAUUUGAGUUCGUUCCUCAUUCACAAAAAUCUGAGUCAUUUCUUAUAUUCGAUGAAUGUUCUUUGUUUAGUGAGUAUGCCACCUAAAUUAGGAUUUUCAUUAGAAGAUGAGUUAGCUUACUAGGAUCCUCUUCAAGGCGGUCGUGGUUGGCGUUGUAAUGUAUGCCAAGGACCAUUGUUGGUAGGCGUUGGUUGUUCGCUGAUGUAGGCAACGUAAGGUGUUUAUAUUGAGGUAAUGAAUUUAAGGGAUGUCAGAGCUUACAGUUGGUCCGAAGGAGUUAUAACAUGAUCUGAAAUAACGUGUUGGAGUAGUUGUUGGGCAGCAACUAGGGAACCCACAUAAGAAAAUUUAUGAGCGUCAGUUAGAGGUUCGACAGAGGAAAGUAACAAGUGAGUGCCAUUAGACAGAUUGAGGUCGUAUUAACUGGUCACAUGAAGCUUAAUUAUUCUAAUUUUCUAGUAGUUGUGCAAUUGAGGAACAACAUAGGGUAGUGAUUUAGGGGGACUAUGGAGAGCACUGGGAUGAGCACACAUUAGAGCGGUGGAGUUAACAUCAUUCCAGUUAGAUGGUGUAGUACUAGCAUAUGAUUGGUUUGUUGACUUUAUGCAUACGAGAACGAUGAGAUCGCCUCCGUUAGCAUGGACUGAUUUCUUAGCAAAAAUUUAUAUAUUGUUUCCUUCUGUAGUGUGUUAGGGAUGGCAUAACUUGGGAGUUUAAGUGACUGAAGAAGGCUGAAGGCAUGACAGUAACCAAGUAUAGUGCCCAUUUUAGCUGUAUAUGUUGAUAUAUAUUCUCCUUAUUCUCUUAUUGAGGAAAUGUGUGCUAGGAGGUUUGUUAGGGGACUAGGAAAAUAUCUAUUUGGACACAUGGUUCGGUUGAAUUAUACUUUUACCAAGGUUUUAAGUUUGGUGUGUCAAGUAGAGCAGCGGAAGAAUGAAACCCAGCAUUAAAUCACCAUAUUUUCAUAAGAAACAAUGACUUGAGAGGUCACAUAAUAAUCAUUCGAAUCAUGACAGUGGGUUAAACCCUGUCACUAGAAACAACAAAGUGGUAGAAGAUCUCAUUGUAGAGAUCAAAGAUAGCUGAGUAGAGGUCAGACUCUAGCUUUUGUGUUUACUUUUUUAGGAUGUUUAGGCUACCAAUGCAUGGUUACAAGUAUACUUUCUAUAUAUUCUUGAGAUGCUAGUUUCCCUUUGAUCCUAAAGCUAUAUACUCAAUUGUACCAUUUUUGGUAUGCUUCUAAAGUUGGAAAACUUUCUCUUUCUUUAAAUGAUAUGUUGGUUAUGGGCUUGUGGCUACAUCUCAUGGAGAGUUUUCUAUAGUUAAUUUUGUACACCGUUCAUUUGAGGUAUCCAUUAGAUAUUGAGAGUUGUUGGUAGAAAUCAUAGCUUUAGGAAUUGCUGAUCUUGAUGUGAUCUUUUGGUAUCAUGAUAUUUUGGACGGACAUAGUAAGUAAUGAGAUUUGAAUUACCUAGAGAGUCAUCUUUCUCAUUCAGGGUGAGUGAAGUUGGGAACCAUGUAAUCUAAUUUCAAAAUUGAGAACUAGCAGGUUACUAGGGAAGGGUUGUCAAGGAUACUUAGUUUUGAUAAGGGAUACUCAAAAGGCUUAAAUAAACACGAUAAGAGAUUUUUUUACGAUGUGUGAACUUCUAAAUGUAAUUUAUGGUGUACCGCCCAACAUGGAGAUAAAGUUUCCCACGUUUGUUUGAUCGGCUAUAAGGAGCUCAAUGUUGUUUUGGAGAAAAAAAACUGAUUUGUGAUAUGUGUAUCAUCAAUUUAAGGAUUUCAUAAUGUUACUAUGGUCAUAAUGAGUUAUUCAUCGUGCCUUUAGACUUAGUGAUGCCAAUGCUGUUUUAAGAAUUGAAUGAACCGCAUCUUUAAGUCAUGCCUUAAGCACUUGGUGAUUGUGUUUAUUGAAGAUAUUCUUGUCUAUUCUGAGGAUAAAGAAGAGCACCAUAAGCUUGCUAAUAGAAGAGUUAUGUUUGGGAUUGUCCAUCCCAACUCAUUGUUGACUUUUGUACAAAUUCGUUUAAAUUUGGUUGAUGAUUUGAUUGUUGAUGUUAAACGUGAUCAAGGUCAAUAUUCGUAGGUGGUGAAGAUUGUAGAGGAAUUUUGAAGUGAAAAGGUUCCACACUUUCAGUAGAAUUCGAUAACAUUUUAUGACUUGAAUGAUAGUUGUGUUCCAUUUUCGGUGGGGGAUCAUUUUACUCAGUUCAGGGCUGGUGUGAGGGAUAACAUGCUGAUAAAGGUGCUGGUUCUAAAUUUAGAUAGCAACGGUUGGGGUAAUCUAGCAUCUGAGAAAUGGUGUGAUAUUUAGGGGAGAAGAAUUUCAUAUUGUAAAAGCAUUAGACCUGAUUCAGUAUAGAGUUUGGUUGUGGCUCAAGGUGAAGGAGAAGAAUUUUAUGGUUUCCAUGUAUGAAUGGAUUGAGAAUCAUGUUGCUUGCUUGAGUUCCUAUUCGACUAGAUAGUUUGUAAGAUGAUUUAUGUGGUGGCAAUGGAGUAAUUGACCUGUCUAUCCGUGUCUCUGUGUUUGGUGCAGCCAAUGGUGAUAUUCUAAAUGAUCAAUUCUGCUGGGUAUAUUUAAGAUGAAAGGAUUAACAUUGCUUUUCAUUGCAUCUGUUGUAUUUUACGCUCUUACUGAUAGAUGUUGUAGCUGUACUGCUGUUUGUGCCUUUCGUGCACAUCCUCUUCUUGGAUUUUCUCUUCCUUAUGUAACUUCUCUAUAUAUUUUGGGUUUGGGGCACCCCUUGUGCUCCCUCUAAUACAAUCUUUGUUUAUCAAAAGAAAAGAGUUGUGUGUGCCUAAUAUAAAUAGUUUGAGGAGGAAAAUAUUAGAGGACUUCUAUCAUUAUUUUUAAACCAGACAUCAAGGUUCUAGGAAACAAAAAAAAAAAUUGUAUCAAGAUGUAAAGGGAUUUUACUGGUGGGAAAGGACGAAGAAAGAUAUAGAAAAAAAAAUGGCUUCUGAAUGUUUAGAAAGCUGGUAGGUGAAGGCUUAACACAAAAGCAAGCAAUGUUGCUUCAAUCUAUUUAAGAUAUCAUAGAGAAAGUGAGGACGUGUUGUUAUGAACUUGGUGAGAGGUUGCUUAGGAAUUUAAUACGUUAUGAUUUUGUAUCAGUGAUUAUGGGUCAAUUGAUUGAGUAUGCACAUUUCUUGGUUAUGAGUAGUACUUAUACUGUAGCUCAUUAUACUAAGCUUUACUCAGAUAAAAGUGAUUAUUUACCCUCCUUGCCCAUGUGCCUAUAAUUAUGGAGGAACUCAAUUCAUGGCAUAACUGUGGAAGUCUUUCUUGAAUUGCUUUGAGGACUCACUUGAAUUUAAGUAUUGUUUUUCUUCUCAAGCUAUUGCUCUAACAAGCAUGAGAAGGACUAUUAAGAAGUUAGAGGAUAUGCUUUGAGUUUGUGUUAUAGUACAUGGAGGGAAUUCAGAUUAGUUGUUAUCCUUCUUGGGAAUUGCUUAUAGCUGUCAGUCUAGAAUUCAGAUGACACUAUUUAAAUCCUCCGCUUUGCAAAUCACUAAUAAGUCGGGUUGAAGUUAGAGAAGCUAAGCCUAUAUGCUUAGGACUUAUCUAGGAUGCAGUAAAGAUAGUUAAGCUAGUUUAGAUCGUUUGGUUACAGCUCAAGGUAGACAAAAGUCUUAUGCUGGUAGGAGGUGACACAUUUUUGAGGUUGCAAUUAGCGACCAUGUGUUUUAAGUGUUUCUCCGAAGGAGUGGCAUGGUUUGGUAAAAAGGGAAACUGAGUCCAUGUGUUUUAUCUUAUAUAUGGAAUAUCCGGUAGUCUUGGUUGAUAUGAGAGGGAAGUGUAUGAAUUCUACGAGAAUUGAUUCAGUGAAAGUUCUUUGGUGAGGAACAUCUAGUUAAGAGAAGUCUUGGGAACAUGGAGUAAUCAUACGUGAGAAGUAUCUCUUGCUAUUGGUAACUCAAAGCUAGCGAAAACUAUAAAAUUCGAGGACGAAUUUUUCUAAGGGGGGAAGAUUGAAACAUCCUGAUAUAUUAUAUAUAUAUAUAUAUAUAUAUAUAUAUAUAUAUAUAGUAACUAAGAAGCAAAACAAUAAAAAAAAAACUAAAAAUAACCUAGCAAAUAUAAACCCACACGGCACCAACCCCACCCAUUACCUUAUUUUGUCAAAUCCAUAUAACUUCUUUCUCUCUCUCGUGAAUUCCCUUUCUGUGCCUUUCGACUGCAACCUUCAUCCUCUUCUCUAUUUUAUCCUUUUCUUUUUCUACACAGUAGAACCCACACCAAAUCCUAUUACAAAAACCACACUCUCGUGAAGGAAAAUUGUGAUGUUCAAGUGAAAGGGCUUUUGAGAUAAACAUUGGGACUUAGGGUUUGUGCUAUGAGGAAAGAGAAGAGUACUCACAUCUUCAAGGUUGUUUAUUUGACUUUUGAGUUCAGAUUCGCGACUAGUGGUUCAUUCGUGAGUCCGGAAGUUGUUGGGAGCAAUCGUGUUGAUUCUUUGUAACUGUGAGUGGUUUUCAACUGCUAUGACAUAUUUUUAACAGUCUUAUAACUGAUUUAAUUACUUUAUCAUAUUGCCUAUUUAUCUAAAUUGGGAAAACGUGUUUUAGUAUGUUUGAUUAUCAUUCUUGAACUCUGAAAGCUGAUUUUAUGAAACUGAUUUUGAGCAUGUUUUAUGAAUUGGUAUGAGAAGAGAAUGACAUUGGGUUAAUUUGGAAAUUAUGUGAAAUUGAGAUUGUGAACUUGAAAAGAUUUGAUGAGCAUUGAAAAGUUGAUAUUGAGAAUGUUAUUUUGAAAAGCUUUGAUGAGCAAUUGAAAACUGAUUUUGAGACUGUCGAUGGGACUUGUAUUGGUUUGAGAAAACGGUUUUGGGGAUCCUUGAUAGAACCCCGUAGCCGUUAGCGGAGGUAACGGCCUAGGUGCACCUAGCUAGUUUGAUUCCGGGAGGAGAGGGUUAUCCGUUAGAUGGAGCCGCCAGUGCACGGAAAGGGCUAUCAACGAGAUGUAGCUUCCCCCGAUGAGAUUAAUGAGAUAUGACAUGAUUCCGGGUGGAGAGGGCUAUCCGUUAGAUGGAGCCGCCUCUUGGGUAAGAUAAUCCUUAAGAGGAAAGGGCUAUCAACGAGAUGUAGCUUCCCCCGAUGACACGAAGUGACUUGAGAAAGGAAAGGGCUAUUCGCUAGAUAGAGCCGCCCCUAUCGGAAAGGCCAUCCCUUAGGAGGAGAGGGCUAUCAGCGAGAUGGAGCCGCCUCACGGUUCUACAUGUGUGACCCUAUUACAUUAAAUUUCAGAUUUUAAAUUUCUUCACUUUUUGACAUGAUUUUAACUUAUCUGUUUGACAUGAUUAUUUAUGACCUUUAUGAGUUUCAGUACUUGUAGCAUUGAAAUGGUUUGAACUAAUAUUGUUGGUGAUAGUGAUUAUCUACACUGAGUUGAGAGCGAAAAACUCGUGCCUCUAAUGUUUCCCCUUCCUGUUCAUGGCGGUUGUUGAUUGCUCACUAAGUCCUUGUGACUUACCCCAUUCCUUAUUGCCCUCCACAAAUUUUCAGGCAACUGAGUAGCAGACUGUUGUCAGAUUCAGAUCAUUCGACUUAAUUCCUUUGGCAGGUUGUCAUGUUGGUGUCUUUUAUUUAAUCCUGGUUAUCUGCAGCUAUAGGGAGUCCUAGGUGGAUUUAGAUUUGGGAUUGUGAUUUAUUGUUUUAUUUUAAGAGUUGACAUUUUACUUGAAAUACUGGUCAUGGAAGAGCUUAUUGACAGAUGUUAUUUUGAAACUAUUGAAAAUACAAAGGAGAUUCUGCUGAAAAUUUUACAAAUUUUGUGUGCAUGAUUAUUUUGAAUAAAUUGUUUGAAAAAUGAUCCUAUAAGGAUGAGGCUUGCCAGGCUAGGGUGGUAGUCUGUGCGUCGGUCACGACUUGGGAUUUUGGGUCGUGACAUAUUACACACCCGUAAAUAAAUAAAAAAGUGGAUCGCAACAUUUGAGAAUAGAAGUUAAAAAGGUAAAAAAAAAAUUACAUUAUGUUUGGUAGAGAUAAUUUUAGAAUGAGAAACUUAUAGUUGAAAAAAGCCUUCUUUGGUAUGAGCGAUUGGUAGAGGGAAGAGAGAAAAACAUGUGAGAUCACAACUUUUUGGUUGUGGAGGAACUUCUAGUUUUAUGGGGCAAUAUAAAACUUGAUAUCCAAAUACUGAGUAUACCAUUGGUCUAAAAUUUGAAACUUUAGUGGGGUCAAUUAUCCCCCUCCCCCGCCUCAUUGUCUACCUUCUCGCGAUAUAUGUUAUUUUCCUCUUGGAAUGACUCCCGCCUUCCUUGGUCCCAUCCUAGCAAAGUGCUCAUGCAAAGUGAUCAUAUGUCUUCUUAUCUGUUUGUUUUAUGCUUGGAAAAACUAUUUGUUUGCAAUGUGCGGUGAGUGAGAAGGCUUUGCAUCCACAAUUCAACUAUCGAGGCGAGGCCCACCCUUGUCUCAUAUCAUCUUUGCAGAUGACGUUUUAUUGUUCUAUAAAGCCACUUGCUCAAGUUCAUACCAUCUCCAAUCGAUAUUACACACCCGUAAAUAAAAUAAAAAAGUGGAUCGCAACAUUUGAGAAUAAAAGUUAAAAAGGUAAAAAAAAUUACAUUAUGUUUGGUAGAGAUAAUUUUAGAAUGAGAAACUUAUAGUUGAAAAACAAGUCUUGUUUGGUAUGAGCGAGUGGUAGAUGGAAGAGAGAAAAACAUGUGAGAUAACAACUUUUUGGUUGUGGAGGAACUUCUAGUUUUAUGAGGCAAUAUAAAACUUGAUAUCCAAAUACUGAGUAUACCAUUGGUCUAACAUUUGAAACUUUAGUGGGGUCAAUUACCCCCCCCUCUCAUUGUCUACCUUCUCGCGAUAUAUGUUAUUUUCCUCUUGGAAUGACUCCCGCCUUCCUUGGUCCCAUCCUAGCAAACGCCUUCCUUGGUCCCAUCCUAGCAAAGAGCUCAUGCAAAGUGAUCCUAUGUCUUCUUAUCUGUUUGUUUUAUGCAUGGAAAAACCAUUUGUUUGCAACGUGCGGUGAGUGAGAAGGCUUUGCAUCCACAUUCAACUAUCGAGGCUUUGCAGAUGACAUUUUAUUGUUCUAUAAAGUCACUUGCUCAAGUUUAUACCAUCUCCAAUAUCUAGGCCGGGUUUGGUAAUGCCACGAGACUUGUUGUCAAUGUUAGCAAAUCUAAAGCGGUGUUCAUUCAUAACUUUAUCCAAGUGAAUGAACAUUUGCAUCACUGUCACUUAGAGGUGUUGCCUGGUUGCUCUCGUUAUUCGCAUCCUCUGGAAAACAAUUUUCCUUACUUGUGAAACUGUCCUGACUUUAGGGAAGUGUGGUUACGUUUAAGCGUUGUGAGACUAUUGUGCUCAUCCCAUAUCCUCAUUUUUUUUUAAAAAAAAUAAACCCUUACUAAUCUCAUAUAUGCAUUGGAAGCAACUUUAAUUCUCGUCUUCAUACAAAAUUAGAAAGCAUUAACAUUUACUAUUGCAUUUAAAACAAACAAAAUUUAAUGCUUUAGUAAAGUGUAACUAAAAAUACAAAGAUCAUACACGUACAUAACAAGUUGAUUUAUUUAAUGAAGUACAAAUCUAACACAAUGGUCAAGUUGGAGAAACAUGAUUUCUUUUAAACGUAGAAUACUUGUUAUUUCAUAAUUAUGGUUACAACUCGUACGAGGUUGUUUCUAAUUUAAGUAGUAGUCUUUACUUUGAGUCCUAAUGAAUGCACAUGGUUAGAUAUCUUGAUAGGCAAGACUUUGCUUCUCAUAAAGGUGUAUCCCAGCUCGAAUAAGAUUGCUUAAGUAAAGGAUACAUAUUAUUUGGCUUAAUUGCACUUUUGGUCCCUGAUCUAACAAUGAUUGUGCAAAAUUGAUCCCUUGUGUUGAAAAUGAGUGUUUUUUGUCCUACUUGUUUUUUACGUGAGCGAUUUUGGUUCUUUCAUUAAUCUGCAGUUAGAAAGCUAACGGAACUCACUGAUGUAGACUCAGAUGUAGACUCAUUAGUUAAUGUGGCACGCCAUAUCAGCAUGCCACUUGAAUAAAUAACUAAUAAAACUUUAAAUUUCUAAUCAAACUACUAAUUUAGAAAAUUAAUUUAAAUUAACUUGUCACGUUGAUUUAGUUUGAAGAGGGGUUGUUGUAGCCACGAUUGGGCUUGGAUGAGGAAGUCGAGGUUCAAAAUCAGGCAAUGGUGAUUAAUAGCGUUUCGGGCGUUGAAUCUGGUGAAGAUGUGGUUUUCGUGACGCAGAGGCCGGAGAGAUGACAUAUUUGUCUUCUUCCCUCUUUAACAUUGCGGGUCCGUUUGGUGGACAGGAUAAGGAAUGACAGGAUAUGAUAGUAAUCAUAUCUUGUUGUUAUCUGGUGUUUGUUGCGUCAGUAGGAUAGGGUAACACUAUCAUGUCUCUUAUCAUAUCAUGUCAAUCAUUUGUAAAAGUUAUCCAGAGUGGAGAGCUAUGAUAGAACUUAUCCUGUCAGGAUAGGAUAACAGUUAUAUAUUCUCUUUCGGUAUUGGAACCCAAAAUUAAUUUAUUUCAAUAUAUAAUGAUAUUAAUUAAUAAAUAGAAAAAUAUUAUUUUUAAUGAAAGUGAAAAUAAAUGAAUAUCACCUGGAAGAGUGGU